CAGGCUUAACACAUGCAAGUCGAGGGGCAGCACGGUGUAUCAAUAGCAUUGGUGGCGACCGGCGCACGGGUGAGUAACGCGUAUGCAACCUGCCUAUCAUAGGGGAAUAACCCGGCGAAAGUCGGACUAAUACCGCAUAAAACAGGGGUUCCACAUGGAAAUAUUUGUUAAAGAUUUAUCGCUGAUAGAUGGGCACGCGUUCCAUUAGAUAUUUGGUGAGGUAACGGCUCACCAAGUCUACACAUGGAUAGGGGUUCUGAAAAGAAGGUCCCCCACACUGGUACUGAAACACGGACCAAACUCCUACGGGAGGCAGCAGUGAAGAAUAUUGGUCAAUGGGCGAAAGCCUGAACCAACCAAGUCACGUGAAGGAUGAACGAUCUAUGGUUUGUAAACUUCUUUUAUAUGGGAAUAAAGUGAGGAGCGUGUUCCUUUUUGUAUGUACCAUAUGAAUAAACAUCCGCUAACUCCGUGCCAGCAGCCCCGGUAAUACCGAAGAUGCGAGCGUUAUCCGGAUUUAUUGGGUUUAAAGGGUGCGUAAGUGGUUAAUUAAGUCAUCGGUGAAAGUUUGUGGCUCAACCAUGAAAUUGCCGUUGAAACUGGUUAAAUUGAAUAUAUUUGAAGUAAGCGGAAUGCCUGCUGUAACGGUGAAAUGGCUAAAUAUCACGCAGAACUCCGAUUGCGAAGGCAGCUUACUAGACUAUAACUGACACUGAAGCACGAAAGCGUGGGGAUCAAACAAGAUUAGAUACCCUGGUGAUCCACGCAGUAAACGAUGAUUACUAGCUGUUUGCGAUACGCAGUAAGCGGCACAGCGAAAGCGUUAAAGUAAUCCACUUGGGGAGUACGCCGGCAACGGUGAAACUCAAAGGAAUUGACGGGGGCCGGCACAAGCGGAGGAACAUGUGGUUUAAUUCGAUGAUACGCGAGGAACCUUACCCGGGUUUGAACGCAUAUUGACAGCUUUAGAAACAGAGUGUCUAGUAAUAGCAAUUUGCGAGGUGCUGCAUGGUUGUCGUCAGCUCGUACCGUGAGGUGUCGGCUUAAGUGCCAUAACGAGCGCAACCCUUGUCAGUAGUUACUAUCAGGUCAAGCUGAGGACUCUGGGGAGACUGCCAGCGUAAGGUGUGAGGAAGGUGGGGAUGACGUCAAAUCAGCACGGCCCUUACAUCCGGGGCGACACACGUGUUACAAUGGUGGGGACAAAAGGCAGGUAGCUGGCGACAAGAUUCUAAUCUCCAAACCCCAUCUCAGUUCGGAUUGAAGUCUGCAACCCGACUUCGUGAAGCUGGAUUCGCUAGUAAUCGCGCAUCAGCCAUGGCGCGGUGAAUACGUUCCCGGGCCUUGUACACACCGCCCGUCAAGCCAUGGGAGUUGGGGGUACCUAAAGUCCGUAACCGCAAGGAUCGGCCUAGGGUAAAACCGAUGACUGGGGCUAAGUCAUAACAA
rnacentral:rRNA from 1 species